GCUCCCGUAGCUCAGUCGGAUAGAGCGCCGUCGAAACAGAGUUGGUGGAGGUCGCGGGAUCGAGGCCCGUCGGGAGCC
rnacentral:tRNA from 1 species